UACGUAGGCGGUUUAUUAAGUCAGAUGUGAAAGCCCCGGGCUUAACCUGGGAACUGCAUUUGAUACUGGUAAACUAGAGUAUGGUAGAGGGGGGUAGAAUUCCUAGUGUAGCGGUGAAAUGCGUAGAUAUUAGGAGGAAUACCAGUGGCGAAGGCGGCCCCCUGGACCAAUACUGACGCUGAGGUACAAAAGCGUGGGUAGCGAACA
rnacentral:rRNA from 1 species